GUGCUCCCUUUGGCAGCACAUUUUCUAAAAUUGGAACGAUACAGAGAAGAUUAGCAUGGCCCCUGCACAAGGAUGGCACAUAAAAAAUAUAGUCAUUGAAAGAAUAC